GACGAACGCUGGCGGCGUGCCUAACACAUGCAAGUCGAACGAGGUCCAUCCUUCGGGAGAAGACCUAGUGGCGAACGGGUGAGUAACACGUGAGGAACCUGCCCCGAAGACCGGGAUAACCCUCCGAAAGGAGAGCUAAUACCGGAUACCCCCACCGAGCCGCAUGGUUUGGUGAGGAAAUGGAUUCCGCUUCGGGAGGGCCUCGCGGCCUAUCAGCUAGUUGGUGGGGUAACGGCCCACCAAGGCAUCGACGGGUAGCUGGUCUGAGAGGACGAUCAGCCACACUGGGACUGAGACACGGCCCAGACUCCUACGGGAGGCAGCAGUGGGGAAUCUUGCGCAAUGGGCGAAAGCCUGACGCAGCAACGCCGCGUGGGGGAUGAAGGCUCUCGGGUUGUAAACCCCUUUCAGCAGGGACGAAUCAAGACGGUACCUGCAGAAGAAGCCCCGGCUAACUACGUGCCAGCAGCCGCGGUAAU
rnacentral:rRNA from 1 species